UCUAGAAAUGAAAUGCGGUUUAUGUUCAGGUUUUUGUUCUGUCUCAUCUCACUGUUUACAGACAUAAUUGAAUUCUCACUGAAGCAGAGAUUGUGUUUCACAUGUAAUCAUGCCAAUGCUGCUCAAAUUCCUGACUGGAACUAAAUUAUUCCUCCUGAACCCUCUCAGCUUGUUUCGUCUGAAAACACUUCCUGUGCAGGUGCUGAUCUCGGAUUCCUCGUUCUUCCUUCCCAAAACCCCGGAACAACAGGAGGAGGCUUAACACGGUGUAGCAUGAAGGAAAGAGGUCGGGCGUGAUUGUCAUUCAAAGCCUGGGAAAGUCAACAGCAUAGAGAGCUGGAGGUGUGAAUAAGCCACGCGGGCAAAGCCGAGCAGGAUCCCGCCCCCUGAAUGACCUCUCGGUGAACCGGCCGAGGGAAAAACAAGAAAGAUUAUCCGGUGCGCUGUACCAGAUGUACCUGGACGCGCAUCCAUGGCUUCGUACGUGAAUUCUGACGUAAGCGAAUGAUCACAAUGACUGGUCAUAAAUCACCGUGCGCGCGCUAUGAGCGCUAUUAGCCCACCCGCGUCCCGAGGAAUGAAGGCGCGAGACCGGUGAAGAAAAAGGGGGUGUUCCUGUGGCACGAGCCGGGGAGACGUCACGCCGCGCGCUACUUAGCUUUUCAUUUGAAUACUGUAUCUGCUAGCUGAAGGUGACCCGCGGGUCACGAGGCACACACACACACA